rnacentral:rRNA from 1 species
GCGUAAUUUUUUUGAGAGUUCAAAUCGAAAAAAAAGGUUGCGACCUCGAUGUUGGAUUAAAAUUAAUUUUUGGUGUAGAAGCUAAAAGUGGGGGGUCUGUUCGACCCUUAAAAUUUUACAUGAUCUGAGUUUAAACCGGUGUGAGCCAGGUUGGUUUCUAUCUUUAAUAAAUAUAAUAUUUUAGUACGAAAGGACCAAAUAUUAAAUUUAAAAUUUUUAAAUAGAUAAAUAUUAAAUUA